CGGGCCGUAGUGUAAUGGCAACACACACCCUUGGGGUGGGUGAGAGCGAGGGUUCGAUUCCCUCCGGCCCGA
rnacentral:tRNA from 1 species